UACGAGAGGGACAAGUGUUAUUCCCAUUCACUGGGCGUAAAGGGCUUCUAGGCGGUUCUAGGUGUUAAAGGGGAAAACCCAGGUCUACACUUGGAAGUGCCUUUAAAACACUGAACUUUGGGUUUGAUAAAAAAGAAUACACUACGUUGGAAGUAAAGGUUAAAUUUGUUGAUAUCCAACGGGGUUCCAAAGGCGAAAGCAGUAUUCUAAAAAAACCGACGCUGAAGAGCAAAAGCGUGGGGAGCAACGGGG
rnacentral:rRNA from 1 species